rnacentral:tRNA from 1 species
UCCCUGGUGGCUCAGUGGUGAAGAAUCUGCCUUCAGUGCAGGAGACUGCCUGCAAUGCAGGUGACGCAGGUUUGAUUCCUGGCUUGGGAA